CCUACGGGUGGCAGCAGUGGGGAAUAUUGCGCAAUGGGCGAAAGCCUGAUGGAGCAACGCCGCGUGCAGGAUGAAGGCCUUCGGGUUGUAAACUGCUUUUAUAAGCGAGAAAUAUGAUGGUAACUUAUGAAUAAGGAUCGGCUAACUACGUGCCAGCAGCCGCGGUCAUACGUAGGAGCCGAGCAUUAUCCGGAGUGACUGGGUGUAAAGAGUUGCGUAGGUGGCAUAAUAAGUAGCUAGUGAAAUCUGGUGGCUCAACCAUUCAGACUAUUAGCUAAACUGUUAAGCUCGAGACCGGUAGGGGUAGCUGGAAUUUCUAGUGUAGGAGUGAAAUCCGUAGAUAUUAGAAGGAACACCAAUAGCGUAGGCAGGUUGCUGUGACGGUUCUGACACUAAGGCACGAAAGCGUAGGGAGCAAACGGGAUUAGAUACCCGAGUAGUC
rnacentral:rRNA from 1 species